rnacentral:misc_RNA from 1 species
UAACUUCUAAUGGUGAUGAAAAAACCCCUCAAAAGAGCAACAAAUAGGAUAACAAAACAAAAUAAAGAAAAGAUACAAAAUAAAACAAAGUUGUAAGCACUAUAAAUCCGCUCUAGAAGAUCUAAGAACUGAUGACAUUAAUUAACGAUACAAAAUGAAUAUAUAAAUUUAAUAAAAUAUCAAAUAAAAAGUAAUACCAUGAAAACAUAUAUUCUUUACUGUGAUAAAUCAAGCCUUGUUGCCAAUAAGGAUGAACAUAAAGAAAGGUGAUGGCUACCAAAAAGGAUAUGAUAAAAGUUACUGAAAAACAUACUAAGAAAGCCCCACGAUCAAUUUCAUACCAUUUCCCACUUACUUCAUGUCGUGACUCCACUUGUGACGAAGGUGAUUCAACAUUAUUA